GUUUCCGUGGUGUAGUGGUCAUCACGUCUGUCUAACACACAGAAGGUCCCCAGUUCGAACCUGGGUGGAAACA
rnacentral:ncRNA from 11 species